GGCAGCCAGCUUUGCUCGGGAUUGCAGGGCGGGGCUCUCUUCAGUGGCUCCACCCCCCAAAACACAGAAACAUCCAGUUUCAUAGCUGGCUGGGUCCAGGUCUUCAUUAGCGAAGGAGGUGUCAUUGGGUUUAGAGGCAGCUGUGCGGUUGGCCUGAGGAGACACAGCUCCUUCAAGCUCCUGCUUGGUAAAUCAAUAUAAGCAGACAACAGACUUCCUUUGGACCGCUCUGUCACACCGAGCUGGCAAAAGAGACACGGAUCCAGUACUGCAGGGCAAGCCGUGCUUUAAUGAAGCUGACAACAGGUAAGCAAGGGUAAGCAGCACCAGAACAGAGCACCGGAGGGAGAGCGCAGCCGUCCGGUAGACCGGAGCGGCUGUGCGAGGUAAGUCAGCUCCUCGAGAGAUGGCAACCGGGCAGACAGGUUUGGAAUCGGCAGGAGGUGAUCGUGGUCGUGGUGCGGAUGCGUGGGUCGUUAGCCAGAAGGUCCGUCCGACGGAGAAACACGGGACAGGAGCACACGAGGGGAGGAGGACAGAGGGUGCCGGACUCAGCAGGGCAGGAGAUUCAGGAACGGGAGCUGGACUGAGGAGGGAAGGCACAAAAGGUAAGGUUUCUACGAAAGGCAAACUGCUAAGGUACGGGAGAGGAAGGAGACGAAAGACAGAAAAACGCUCGGUAUGGCUUCUUUGCAUCGGCUCAGUACUUCGCGAGUGAAAGGUGGCUGCGCUCCUCUUUUACGGAAGACCUAAUCCUUGGCUAAGGUGUUGCACCUGCUUGACCCCGCCCCCGUGGGCGUGACACACUCCUUGUUGCUAUGUCAAAUAAAUCGUCAUUAUAUCACGCCAGUCACCCUUGCUGAUCAGUAAACUGAACAUUAAAUAGCCCUUUAAAUGUUUGCUUGCCACCAUGGAGCCCUUGGGUCUGACCCGGUGUUAUGUGCUGAUUUGGUAACACUGACGUUCACUGUCAUGUUUUAGGUUGAAUUCUCACCCAUGAAUCAAUACGUCGACUUUUAAUGGUGUGUUGACAAGCCAGAUCACUCAAUCUGUUGAAAAACAGUUUAACAUUAGAACAGAUGGAAAUUAAGAGUAACACCAUAAAAACUGGUAAAAAUUUCUUCUGUAUUCCAAAAAGUUACUGUUGAACUCGGGAAAGGCAUUACACAGCCUGAUGGCCAAAACUGAGAGAUUCAGGGGGAGUUUCUAUCCUCAUGCAAUUAGAAUCCGUAACAGUGACAAGUCUAAUCUCCUACCCCCCCCCCUCCCCCCAGAUUCCACAUACCUAAGUCUGCACUUCAAACGUCUGGAUGCUUACAUGCACAAUGCUACUUCGUAUGCUGUUAAUUUUCCAUGUUUGCUCUACGUUCACUAUUGUAGACAAUGUACAGGGUAACUUCGUUGCCCGUGCACAUUAUCCCACUUAUGUAUCAUAAUCUGCCCCUAAUCUCUUGUAUAUAUUUUCUUAUUUCAUUUUAUUUUAAAAUUUUAUUUUAAAUUUUAUUUCUCUUCCAGGAUUGUCUUAGUCUAUUAAUGGUUAUUGCUAAUUUAAACACCUUAAUUACUAAUGAAAUUACUGGCUCUUCUUUCUCCAUUUCUUUCUACUGCACAGUGCAGAAAUGACUUAGCUACACAUUUCAUUGCAUAACCUGUAUGUGACAAAUAAACAGUCUUGCAUCUUGAAUUUUGAUAUCUAGUUGGACGGCUAGACGAGCACCCCUUCAGUUCCCAAACCCCCCCUUAGGGGCCACCUCAGCCAGUCCAUGAACUUACAGAAGACAGUGGAGGGAUGAUCCGGCUCAAAUCCCCCCAAAGGAUCAUCCCUGCAGAACGCUUACACGCUUUCUGGAAAUUUCUCCCUUCAAACAUUCCCCUUUGCAGCGUGGGCCUGGUUCUCUUUCAUCCUCUCUGCUGAUUGCUGCACCUCCUCCGACGACAGUUGGGUUCUCAUUCAAAAGAUAACACCUUGUGCCCGGAGGAGGGAUCACGCGCACCCCUUCCCAAAAGCUCCUGCAGCCCCCAUGUACCAAACCCUGUUCAGCACCAUCACUGAAGCAAAAACACGGUGCAGCUCCUUUACAGCCAUAACGAUGCGUGAAAUUCCCAGGAAAUACACAGGACAAGCUAACUACCACAGAGACACCCGGCGGGACCUGAGCUUUAAUAUUCCCAUAUCCGAGACUCUUUUCUACACCAGGAAUGUUGCUUCUUAAAGCAGGUUCACUCUUAGUAAUUUUCAGGGUCAACUCCUGUUGUCUCAGUCUAUUGUGUCCCAUCCCUCUUUGGCCAGCAGGUGUCGCUGGCCAUCCUGUCCCUCCUGUCAGUCUUUGUGUUUUCCCCUGCGCCCUGUCAGCCACGUGGUUCAACGUGUUCAGCAUGUGGCUACCAGCAAAUCUCUGUCGCAUGUUCAAAUCCCGCCUCCUCUACUUUUGUAUUUUGUUCCCUAGUGUUUCAUUCUAAUUCCUGUGUCUUGUGAUUUGUAUUUGGUUUUGGUUUCAUUUUUUGUACCCGUGCUUGUGUUUCUACCAGUCUGUAAUUCCGCUAGUGUAGAUUCUGUUUCCUUGAUUCUGUCAGUGUCUUAGUUUUCCCAUCCCAGUCCCUGAAUUAAUUGUUGCCUGUUCGUGUGCCUGCCCUUGUGUGUUUUCCUGAUUGCUCGUUGUCCUGCACCCACCCUGAUUGGUUAAUUGUCUAUGUCUCACUCCUGCUGCCUCGUUACCCAGUUCAGUUUUCAUAUUUAAGUUCCUGCCAGAGUUCAGUUCCCCAGUGGUUCAUUGUUGUUGUUUUGCUAUUUGAUGAUGUAUGUUGCCUGCCUACUGGCCCCAUUUGUAGUUAGUCUUUGUUUUUCCCCUUUGACUUUUGACCCCUUGUAGGUUAUUUUUGUUUUAGAAGUAUUUCUAGUGUUUUUUCUGUUUGUUAAUGAAUCCCCGCUUGUCCUCUGAGCCGCCAGUGGGUCGUCCACUUUCUGUUCCCCGUCUGCAUGACGCCUCGCCCUCGUGCUAAACCUGCCCGGAUCCCUGACAGUAAUUCAGCAGACAUCUGCACUACACUGCUUUCAUGCACCUUAAGGAUGUGCAGAGAGCCCAGUAUUUGUAUUUGUAUCUGAAUUUGUUUAGGCAAUAAAAUUAUUUAUAUUGAUAUUUGAAUAAAAGUGGAAAUAGGCGUAACAAUCCAGU